AACGAACGCUGGCGGCAGGCUUAACACAUGCAAGUCGAGCGCCCCGCAAGGGUAGCGGCAGACGGGUUAGUAACGCGUGGGAACGUACCUUUUGGUUCGGAACAACUCCGGGAAACUGGAGCUAAUACCGGAUAAGCCCUAACGGGGAAAGAUUUAUCGCCGAAAGAUCGGCCCGCGUCUGAUUAGCUAGUUGGUGAGGUAACGGCUCACCAAGGCGACGAUCAGUAGCUGGUCUGAGAGGAUGAUCAGCCACACUGGGACUGAGACACGGCCCAGACUCCUACGGGAGGCAGCAGUGGGGAAUAUUGGAAAAUGGGCGCCAGCCUGAUCCAGUCAUGCCGCGUGAGUGAUGAAGUCCUUAGGGUUGUAAAGCUCUUUUGUCCGGGAAGAUAAUGACGGUACCGGAAGAAUAAGCCCCGGCUAACUUCGUG
rnacentral:rRNA from 1 species